CUUCAUGCACUGGGAGCCUGAUGUGGGAUUCGAUCCUGGGUCUCCAGGAUCGCGCCCUGGGCCAAAGGCAGGCGCCAAACCGCUGCGCCACCCAGGGAUCCCCUGUCUUGAUUUUUCUGCUUCACUCCUGCUACAGCUUCUAAUUGCACUGGCGUAAAAUACAAACUCCUUACCGUCUCCUGAAUCCCUAGAAGCAGGAUGACCCAGCAUCUGCGGGCCCACCCACUCUUGAUGGCUGACUUUCUGGGACUUGGCAAGGAGCAGAGGGAGAGAUGGAGAGGCAAGCCAGCACGGCUCUGGGUGACCCAUGGGGCAGACCGUCCCCAGGUGACUAGUGACAUCUGGUCCAGGGACAGUGACAGCUGAUGCUCAGCACCCAGCGUACGUAGGAGAAACCUCGUUGACCCUUUGGUACCUGCCGUGUCUCAUCUGAAGUCUGCCAGAAUGCCCACAGUUUGUUCUUCAUUUGAGCCUUGGUAGCUUAGAAGUAUCUCUGACCCUGAGCUGUGCCUCGGUAACGUAGGACAUCAUUAGUGCUAGGCCAGUGCUAGUCUUCUGCCAAUUAGACGAGACUGCUUACUUUUUCUACUCCAGAUAUGAAUUUCACUUUGACCUCUCGGCUACUUCCAGAAGUAUUUUUGCAGAGGUAGUCAUUCUAGUAUCUACAGGCUUAUCAUAUCCUUCGGGAUUUCUUUGAAGAGACAGAGACCUUAUUUCAAGUGUCCUAGAACCUAGUGUUCCUUUAACUGAUGGUGUGGGCAAAGCUUAGAGGCCAGCAAUCAGACUGGACAGGAGGAAGAUCCACCUGCUCCUCCCGCCAAGGUCUCUCCUCCCCCUCCGCGCCCACAGCUGGAUGCCUGGCAGCAUGUGGCACCGUCGUUCCGAGGGUGGAUGCUGGAGCCUGCAUCCAACCCUGCCUCUGCCGCUUCCGAUUCACGACCUUGGCCCAGCCUGAGCCUCCCAGGUCUUGUGUUCUUAUCAGUAAAAUAGGGAUGAUAGUCCACACCUACUGGAUAGCAUGUUUGUGUGGAUCAAAUACUUUCUGAGUGCCUAGAACAGUCCCUGACGUGUCCUGGGAGUGGGUGGCUGCUGCCAUUAGCUUAUUAUUAUCACUAUUACUAUUUUAUGCAGAUAAACUGACACUCUUGCUUUAUGUGAGAGAUGUGGAGAGAUUCAUUCCUCUGGCAAAGCCUUAUUUAGGUUGAAGGCAGCCUCUGCGGUCACAUAGUCCCUGAAGAGAAGUUCAUGUGAGGUGGCCUGUUACCCGACGAGUCCUUUAUCAGAACAGAGUGCUUUACAAACAUCCUCUUGACCUGGCAGAUGGGACCUUGAGCGUCCAGGGUGCCUGCCGUGCUCCCACUGGCUUGGUCCUCAGGGCCCAGCAAUCUCAGGGCACCACACCCUCUCCUGCCGUGGUAUCCUAAGAGAGGCCCAGCCAGCUCAGUGCCAGCCAUUGGCCCCGGGUGUGAAUUGCGGCCCCAGGGUGGUAUUGUUUAUUUAGAAGUAACCAGAAUGCCUCCGCCUGGCGAACUCACCCCUGUAGCACGAAGCCUGACUUUUUGCAUAGUGCUGGGCACCUGCUUGCAUGUACUCAGUCCCCUCUCAUGUGCAGUCCAAGUGCCGUCCAAGGAGAGCAUGCAGGCACCAAGGCGCAUUCAUCCAGCAAAUACCCAAAACCCAUCUACUUCCGUGUGUGCCGGGAGCUACGGUGACUAAGGCAGCAGUCUCAGCACGCAGGUGCACACGGCCUGUAGAAGGAGCCAGAUUGACCCCGUGACGGCAGCCUGAGAAGGGGCACUGAAAGGGAGGACCCCAGAGGAGAGGGACACCCAGCAUGACGGGCUCUGGAGGAGUUAUUCCUGCACCAUUGGUUGAGUGACUGGUACAUGCCAGCCAUGCACCGGCGCUGCCGAGCCCAGGACACAUAGGGGCUCGUCUGGCGUCUCAGAAGUGACAUUGGAGUGCUGCCCCAUAUACAAAUGGAACUACUUCAUGGCUCCAGAACCCUUUCAUGUGGUUUGAGUUAGAAGUGGUAUUGGUUGUUUCUGAUCCCGAAACCUGUUGUGUGACACGGAUGCCAGACUCUGACUCUUUGUACCACACUGUGCUUUCAAGUGGCUAGUAAAAUGAUUCCAGAAUAUGUAAUGUA